UGGGGAAUAUUGCACAAUGGGGGAAACCCUGAUGCAGCGACGCCGCGUGAGUGAGGAAGUAUUUCGGUAUGUAAAGCUCUAUCAGCAGGGAAGAAAAAAUGACGGUACCUGACUAAGAAGCACCGGCUAAAUACGUGCCAGCAGCCGCGGUAAUACGUAUGGUGCAAGCGUUAUCCGGAUUUACUGGGUGUAAAGGGAGCGCAGGCGGUACGGCAAGUCUGAUGUGAAAGCCCGGGGCUCAACCCCGGUACUGCAUUGGAAACUACCGGACUGGAGUGUCGGAGGGGUAAGUGGAAUUCCUAGUGUAGCGGUGAAAUGCGUAGAUAUUAGGAGGAACACCAGUGGCGAAGGCGGCUUACUGGACUGUAACUGACGUUGAGGCUCGAAAGCGUGGGGAGCAAACAGG
rnacentral:rRNA from 1 species